UUGGAGGGCAAGUCUGGUGCCAGCAGCCGCGGUAAUUCCAGCUCCAAUAGCGUAUAUUAAAGUUGUUGCAGUUAAAAAGCUCGUAGUUGAAUUUCGGGGUCAGUAGGUUGGUCGUGCCACUGGUAUGUACUGGCUUUACUGAUUCCUCCUUCUUGAAGAACUGUAAUGUCAUUAAUUUGGUGUUGCAGGGAAACAGGACUGUUACUUUGAAAAAAUUAGAGUGUUUAAAGCAGGCUAACGCUUGAAUACAUUAGCAUGGAAUAAUGAAAUAGGACGUUUGAUCCUAUUUUGUUGGUUUCUAGGAUUGACGUAAUGAUUAAUAGGGAUAGUUGGGGGCAUUAGUAUUCAAUUGUCAGAGGUGAAAUUCUUGGAUUUAUUGAAGACUAACUACUGCGAAAGCAUUUGCCAAGGAUGUUUUCAUUAAUCAAGAACGAAAGUUAGGGGAUCGAAGACGAUCAGAUACCGUCGUAGUCUUAACCAUAAACUAUGCCGACUAGGGAUCGGAUGAUGUUAAUUUUUUAAUGACUCAUUCGGCGCCUUACGGGAAAC
rnacentral:rRNA from 1 species